UUUCCAUAAAGGGUCUCAGUGGGUCUCAAGGAUCUCCACUACCGCCGACUGGGAGCGAUUUAGCGAAGCACACACUGGUAUAUUAGUAACUGAAGACGUCUGGGGACAAAGCGGCUCUCUCUAAAACCAUAUCCCUCCACUGUGACCUCCAAAGCAUUCACAACUGGGACUGGGGAACAGAGUCAUUACCGAAGCAGGAACUCCAGUCUGGAGGCCACGGCUCUUGCGUGUAGCGUGAAUAGAUGGAGCCGGUUUCUUCGCUGAGACGUGCUGAGGAACACACACUGCGCCAUUACCACUGCC
ensembl:lncRNA